rfam:Blastomyces dermatitidis ER-3 genomic scaffold supercont1.3, whole genome shotgun sequence.
CCUCAUCCACCUGGUCAGGGGUGAUAAAAUGAAUAUGAGUAUCCACGCCACCAGCGGUAACUAUUUUCCUUUCUCCAGAAAUUACAUCGGUACCGGCUCCAACAAUCAUCUUCGGAUGGACACCAUCCAUAAUGUCCGGGUUCCCAGCUUUUCCGAUACCCACAAUAUUCCCCUCCUUGAUGCCAAUAUCGGCAACAUAGAUCCCGCUCCAAUCGAUAAUCAGUGCGUUCGUAAUAACGGUGUCCAACGCCUCAUCCGAGCAUCUUCCGGAAGCUUGGCCCAUGCCUUCUCUCAAUG